rnacentral:rRNA from 1 species
AAACUUACCAGGUCAAGACAUGGGCGUGAUUGACAGGCUAAUGACUUUUCUCGAUUCCAUGGAUGGUGGUGCAUGGUCGCACUUAGUUGGUGCAGUGAUUUGUCAGGUUUAUUCCGGUAACGAACGAGACCUCGGCCUUGUAAAUAGCUAUGCUGCUUACAGGGACAUUGGCGGCUACGCCAAGGAAGCUCGAGGCAAUUGCAGAUCUGGAAUGCCCUUAGAUGUCCUGGGUCGCACGCGUGCUACAAUGACGCCACGAACGAGCUUGCGUGAUGAAAGUUACGCAUAAUCAGCAGUCGGCGUCUUAAGGGAUAGUCUCUUGUAACUGUGGGACUCCAACUAGGAAUGUCUCGUAAGCACAAGUCAACAUCUUGUGUUGAUUACGUCCCUGCUCUUUGUACACACCGCCCGUCGCUCCUACCGAUCGAGUGUUUAGGUGAAUUUGAUGGACGUAAGGAAGUCAAAUAAACCUGAGCACUAGAGAAGAGAAGUCGAUCAUC